AUUGAACGCUGGCGGCAGGCCUAACACAUGCAAGUCGAACGAGUGGCGGACGGGUGAGUAAUGUCUGGGAAACUGCCUGAUGGAGGGGGAUAACUACUGGAAACGGUAGCUAAUACCGCAUACCAUCGGAUGUGCCCAGAGGGGAUUAGCUAGUAGGUGUGGUAACGGCUCACCUAGGCGAAGAUCCCUAUCUGGUCUGAGAGGAUGACCAGCCACACUGGAACUGCGACACGGUCCAGACUCCGACGGUAGGCAGCAGUGGGGAAUAGUGCACAAUGGGCGCAAGCCUGAUGCAGCCAUGCCGCGUGUGUGAAGAAGGCCUUCGUGUUGUAAAGCACUUUCAGCGGGGAGGCGUGACCCGCAGAAGAAGCACCGGCUAACUCCGUGCCAGCAGCCGCGGUAAUAC
rnacentral:rRNA from 1 species